rnacentral:rRNA from 1 species
AACGAACGCUGGCGGCAGGCUUAACACAUGCAAGUCGAACGCCCCGCAAGGGGAGUGGCGCACGGGUGAGUAACGCGUGGGAAUAUGCCCUUCGGUUCGGAAUAACACAGGGAAACUUGUGCUAAUACCGAAUACGAUCUACGGAUGAAAGAUUUAUCGCCAAGGGAGUAGCCCGCGUAGGAUUAGCUAGUUGGUGAGGUAAUGGCUCACCAAGGCGACGAUCCUUAGCUGGUCUGAGAGGAUGAUCAGCCACACUGGGACUGAGACACGGCCCAGACUCCUACGGGAGGCAGCAGUGGUGAAUAUUGGACAAUGGGGGAAACCCUGAUCCAGCCAUGCCGCGUGAGUGAUGAAGGCCUUAGGGUUGUAAAGCUCUUUCGCCUGGGAAGAUAAUGACGGUACCUGGAAAAGAAGCCUCGGCUAACUCCGUGCCAGCCGCCGCUGUAACAC